AAUAGAAUUGCAAUAUGAAGCUGG
rnacentral:siRNA from 1 species